CACGUAGGGGGCAAGCGUUGUCCGGAAUCAUUGGGCGUAAAGAGCUCGUAGGCGGCUCAAUAAGUCGGGUGUGAAACCCCCAGGCUCAACCUGGGGACGCCACCCGAUACUGGUGUGGCUAGAGUCCAGUAGGGGAGUGUGGAAUUCCCGGUGUAGCGGUGAAAUGCGCAGAUAUCGGGAGGAACACCAGCGGCGAAGGCGGCACUCUGGGCUGGUACUGACGCUGAGGAGCGAAAGCGUGGGUAGCAAACAGG
rnacentral:rRNA from 1 species